CCUACGGGUGGCAGCAGUGAGGAAUAUUGGUCAAUGGGCGCGAGCCUGAACCAGCCAAGUAGCGUGAAGGAUGACUGCCCUACGGGUUGUAAACUUCUUUUAUAAAGGAAUAAAGUGAGGCACGUGUGCCUUUUUGUAUGUACUUUAUGAAUAAGGAUCGGCUAACUCCGUGCCAGCAGCCGCGGUAAUACGGAGGAUCCGAGCGUUAUCCGGGUUUAUUGGGUUUAAAGGGAGCGUAGAUGGGUUGUUAAGUCAGUUGUGAAAGUUUGCGGCUCAACCGUAAGAUUGCAAUUGAUACUGGCAGUCUUGAGAAGAGUUGAGGUAGGCGGAAUUCGUGGUGUAGCGGUGAAAUGCUUAGAUAUCACGAAGAACUCCGAUUGCGAAGGCAGCCUACUAAACUGCCACUGACAUUGAUGCUCGAAAGUGUGGGUAUCAAACAGGAUUAGAUACCCCAGUAGUC
rnacentral:rRNA from 1 species